rnacentral:misc_RNA from 1 species
AAGUCGUAACAAGGUCUCCGUUGGUGAACCAGCGGAGGGAUCAUUACAGAGUUGCAAAACUCCCUAAACCAUCGUGAACGUUACCCAAACCGUUGCUUCGGCGGGCGGCGCCGGAGGUUACCCAAACUCUUGAUACAUUAUGGCCACUCUGAGUCUUCUGUACUGAAUAAGUCAAAACUUUCAACAACGGAUCUCUUGGUUCUG